AUUGAACGCUGGCGGCAUGCCUUACACAUGCAAGUCGAACGGUAACAGGUCUUCGGAUGCUGACGAGUGGCGAACGGGUGAGUAAUACAUCGGAACGUGCCUAGUAGUGGGGGAUAACUACUCGAAAGAGUGGCUAAUACCGCAUGAGAUCUACGGAUGAAAGCAGGGGAUCGCAAGACCUUGUGCUACUAGAGCGGCCGAUGGCAGAUUAGGUAGUUGGUGGGAUAAAAGCUUACCAAGCCGACGAUCUGUAGCUGGUCUGAGAGGACGAUCAGCCACACUGGGACUGAGGCACGGCCCAGACUCCUACGGGAGGCAGCAGUGGGGAGUUUUGGACAAUGGGCGAAAGCCUGAUCCAGCAAUGCCGCGUGCAGGAUGAAGGCCUUCGGGUUGUAAACUGCUUUUGUACGGAACGAAAAGCCCCGGGUUAAUACCCUGGGGUCAUGACGGUACCGUAAGAAUAAGCACCGGCUAACUACGUGCCAGCAGCCGCGGUAA
rnacentral:rRNA from 1 species